AACGCACAUUGCGCCCUCUGGCAUUCCGGAGGGCACACCUGUCCGAGCGCCGUCGCAAGCUGAGGCAUAGCCUUGUGUUGGAGGACAACUUUACGGAGUAGCCUCCCAAACUUCGACGGCGCCGCACCGCGGCCGACGACGCACAAAAGCAGAGUCGACCCCGGAUGUGGCCGCCUUGUAAACCACCCAAGCUUGGCCUCGGAUCAGGUGGGGAUACCCGCUGAACUUAA
rnacentral:misc_RNA from 1 species